AGCUCGCCCAGGAAGCAUGUGGAGCGCUGCAACCUGUAGUUACAAACUCCUCCUGACACCGUCUAUACGAGUCAGUGUUUCAUGAAGGGGGAGAAAUGAGAAACCCAUAUCCUGUGAAGAAACCACAUGUUUUCGAAGGGAAGGCCCCUCACAUAUACAGAGAUCACAUGGUUGGUAAAGCGUGGUUUGAAUCGACAGGCGGCUGGAAUCGAUCCUUGCUCGCUGACCAAGUGAAUCAUGAGGGAUGUCCCAAAAACUGAGAGCUGGUUAGGGGGAAACAGGGACACCUGUGACAGGGUCUACACUGCAAGAGGAGAAGCAGCAAUAAAACAAUAUAAAUGCUAGAAGAAUAUAAAAAAUGCACCUUCUUACUUUAGUGUCAUCAGUAAAUGUAUUUAUUCUCAGUAAUGUUCCCUUUCAAAUUGUUAUAUUUCUGACAAAAGAAGAAGAAUUUUAAAUAAAUCAAUGUAAUGAGCUUAUAUAAACUUAUGGGAAGCUUAAUCUAUGAUGGAUGGCAUCAUAUUUCAUAUGUUUUUUGUUUGUUGUUGCAAGCGUUACCUUCACGAGAAAAGUGAUAAAAGCCACCAGACGAAUGCGUUUGAGUGAAAUCAAAAGAUCUUUACAUUUAUGUGCUUCUACUUAAAAGAAGUAUAAAGUUGUAUAAAAUAGUUGUUUUUUUUUUACAACAUUCAUCUCUACAUUCAUUUGCAAUUUUUUUUACAUGAUCAAUUCUUAGAAUAUUUCUUCAUUGCUUUUAUUGUGUCGUCAUUGUGCAGUAUCUGUUUUUCUCAAACAUGUUUAAUCAUCAAAAUGCUACCAAAGUGCAGUAUCUAAAUAAAUGUAUUUAGUUUUGUUCUGUUACUUUCCACCUCUAAGGAUCAGGAAAUUAAAGAAGGUCUACGGCAUACCAUA